GACGAACGCUGGCGGCGUGCUUAACACAUGCAAGUCGAACGGUAAGGCCCUUCGGGGUACACGAGUGGCGAACGGGUGAGUAACACGUGGGUGAUCUGCCCUGCACUUCGGGAUAAGCCUGGGAAACUGGGUCUAAUACCGGAUAGGACCACUGCCUGCAUGGGUGGUGGUGGAAAGCUUUUGCGGUGUGGGAUGGGCCCGCGGCCUACCAGCUUGUUGGUGGGGUGAUGGCCUACCAAGGCGACGACGGGUAGCCGGCCGGGGAGGGUGACCGGCCACACUGGGACUGAGAUACGGCCCAGACUCCUACGGGAGGCAGCAGUGGGGAAUAUUGCACAAUGGGCGCAAGCCUGAUGCAGCGACGCCGCGUGAGGGAUGACGGCCUUCGGGUUGUAAACCUCUUUCAGCACCGACGAAGCGCAAGUGACGGUAGGUGCAGAAGAAGGACCGGCCAACUACGUGCCAGCCGCCGCCGUAA
rnacentral:rRNA from 1 species